UGUUAGUCUGGCUACGUGCUCACUGCAGCCUGUAUGUGUCUUUAGGGUGUGAUGCGAAGUAACACUUUAGUUAGGAGAGAACAGAAUGCCUGUGACUCCCAGGGGAGGCUCUGAACAGGUCUGAGUUCAGUGGGGGAAGCUGAGAGCCGACGCCUCCUUCUCUCUUGAUGGCUACCAAUGAUUGCUAAGAAGUCGAUAAACUUUUCCAUAUCUGGCGUACCUCACUGAUCUCAAUUAUCCAAACAAUCACACGUAUCUUAGCUACUAAUAGCUGCUGACUUAAACCAACUUCACUUGCUGAAGCUUAAUGGAUUGAUGAGACUCGAUCCAGAGACAUGGCCAAUGAAUGCGGACAAAUGGUAAUCCAAGAUGGCAAGAUGAUGUGGUGAAGAUGGAGUCCAUCAGCUCUGGAUGAAGCUUUCUGUAGGAAGAAUUUAUGUCUUGCCUGGAUAACAAUGCCUUGUAGGAGGCAACAACUUACACCAUAUGGAAUGAAGGCCUUAUCCAUCUUGAUCCUUCUACCACGGCCCCAUGUGAUCCCUCAUUUGCUACCUGUCCUUCCUGCCUCCAGCAAUCAUUACCACCAAAGGGUCCUGGAAGAAGAUCAAGAGCUCGUCUCCUCCAGCCACGCUAGAGCUGGGAUGUUCCAUAGAGCAGCUUCUUAACUGCUGCAUUAUGAACCUGUGAAGUUACACAACUGCAAAGUAGAAGUCACAAAGUCUGGCAAUAGUAAAAUGUCCCUGGACAUAAAAAAAAAAAAGAAAGAAAAACAACAACAACAACAAGCCAAACCAGAAAUGAAUUCAAAAUCAAACGUGUAAAGAAUCUAAGUUGUUUCUGCCAGUGUUUGCCCAUGGUGAAUCUUGUGAAGUCACUGCAGCCUUGGUUCUGAAUACUCAGCAUGUAUGGCUGUCCCACCACACAAUGCCAACAAACUCUGGCUGCAAAGCCUCGGCUCAGAUUCAAGACCAUUGUAAGUUAUGAAUUGUAGUGGUUUUUACUACACAUGCAAAGUUUUCUGCUCUUACAGAAACAUAAUGGCUUAAUUAUGUAAAACAACGACUUCAAAUAUUUUCCUACCACCAUUCCUCAGCAUGUAAAAAGGGCUUGCAAGUGGGAAACAUCUAGAGAACCCAGGAGCAGCAUGGGGGUCGAGGGGCAGAGCGCUCUCUCUCACACUCCCCAUCCAUUCCCUAAGCCAUGCGGAUUCAGCACAGGUGCUGACGGGUGCAUGAAGAUGCAACCACCACUGCUAUUCCAGGGUAAGGACCAAGAAGCUAACACUAUGGCUCCUUAUAAGGAGCACCUGAGCUCCUUGUGACAUUUGUAGAACAGGAAGAAUAACUGAGCUACCUCGAAGGGCUGUGGUGAGGCUCAGAAAGUCUGAUUUGUGGUUCUGUAGCAUGGCGUAGAAUGCUCCUUCUGUGCUGGGUAUUGUUAUUAUUAUUCUAUGGGGAUAAUGCUUUAAAAGUUUUCCAGAGACAACUGAGGCUAACUUCAUCUCAGGAUCAUCUCCCUAGGACAUGGGUCAUGCUUCAGUCAAAGAAACUACUGGCUAUUCCUUCAAUUAUUCAACUGCUUCUGCUGUCUUAGGUGCUGGAGGCAUAGGUGUAAGCCCAACGGGCAGAGACCCAGUCCACAGUUGCUCACAUGCAACACAGUGUCUUUUUCUCAACAAUGCCUAGGGCAAGUACUGCCCAAAACACUUGUCCCGCUGUUCUAUAUUUCAAGCCGUGCAUCAGUUUGGUUACUAACUGAUGCCACACAGGAUAGGAAAUCUUUUCCUAAAAGCAUCAUCAUGCUGUUGCUAUGGAGUCAUUAUAGGGGGCUGUCAUUUAAAAUGUCAGUAUUGGACAUCUACACAUGCCUGCAAAUCUACUGACGGGAAUCGACUCCAUGAAAUUUUAUUUUAAACUUGGCGAUGACUGGAUUCACAGUAAACACUCAAAUGGGAUAAUGCCGAUUGACACUAAUUACUCUCUUUCCUGUGUUUAUCUCUAUCUUGGUUCUUCUCAGAGUCUAAUUCUUACGUAUCUCUCCAGCCACUCUAUCUAGCUGCAAAGGCGCUCAAGAUUUCUUAAACGAAGAGAUCAAUGAAGAUGCCCAUGUCCUUCUCUAUAAUCUAAAGAGCAGAAUGAUGGGGGUGGGAAGAUUAUUCUGAAGUAUAUAGAGAAAAAAAAACUGCAUCAAGAAUAUUUUUUUUUGAUGGGCUGGGAAGACAACUCAUUCACUAAGGUGUUUGCUUUGCAAAAUGAGGAUCUUAGUCUGAACCCCAGAACCACAUAAAAAACCUGGGCAUAGUCAGCCAUACUUGUGAUCCCAGCACUUGGGGAGGUGAAGGCAGGGAGAUACCUGGAGCUCGCUGCUAGAUGGCCUUGCUAAACUAGCAAGCACCAACUUGGGAGAUCCCUGUCUUCCCAAAGAAGGGUAUGGCACAUGAGGAAGGACACCUGAAGGUGACCAUUGCUUUCCAUCCUCGUGCACAUCCAUGUACGGCUGCAUGCACAUACAUACACAAACAUGUGCACACACAUACACAUACAUAAAUGCACGUUCUCAUGAAGUUUCAUGUUCUCUCUUUGUAGAGCUCAUUUGUAGCCCCAAAGUCAUCAAUGAUCAAAAUCAAUGAACAAAAGAGACUCUUCUAAGAUUAUCAGGGCUAUUGGCAUAAAGGCACCCUACUUUCAAAUUGUGUUUACAUAUAGUUCUUCCCACCGCACAAAACAAGCAGGUCCCACUGCUGGCUCUUAGGUGUAUAUUUUAACUAGCUAGGAGGGACAGGUGCCAGAGAAUUCUCUCCAGCCUCUAUCUAACCAGCAUGUUUUACAAUACAGCAGGUCAUUCAGAGCCAUUAGGAUAAACCUUUCUUUGCAAAAAAAUCCCUUUUUGCAUAAAGAGGCCCCAAAUGCAUUUCAAUCCUGAAACACCUGAAAAUGUGCUGAAUUCAUCAAGACAACGUGGAUGGAGAUAUGGAAGCUUUUUCUGUGACUUUCUAUGACACUGGCACCCAGGCUAGUAGAGGAGGAAAAAGAAGAUGAGACAACCAGCCAGGCACUGAUAUUUACUAAGGCAUCGUUGAGUCUGGAGCUGUUUCGAGGAUAAAGCAGUGUAUAAGACAGUCAGUGUGCUCCCGGUACACUUUGCAUGCUGAUGGAGACUGGAGGUAAGCAAUCCCACUAACAAACAUGUCAAGAGGAUUAGUUCAGGAACUUUCAGAUGUAUGGAGAAGGCAGUGAGUCCUGAGGACGGUGGUCAGUAGGGUGGUAGCUGGGAAAGGUGGAGGCAAUGUCAGACUGGUGAGGGGAGGGUUCCUGGGAAGAUGUGCUUGAGCUAAAGUCUGCCUAAGGAUAACAAGAAGGCUGCUCAGAGUAGGUCUGUCAUAGUCAGAGUAGGUCUGCUUCUGCUUUAAGCAGAAAAGCCUCAACGGCAACAUUUCCGACAAAGGGGAUUGGCUCAUUCUGAGGCAGAGAUAGAAAGGAGGCUGGUAUGGUUGGAGAACGUUCUCUGUGGAGCAGAGGGAGGGAAAGCUUGGACUAGAGUAGAAGGCAGGAGCCAGGGUACUAGCACUGGACCAUGGGCUUACUCUGGUGCUUACCUUAGUUGGAAGGGGCCUGGAGAAGAGGAAUGACAUUGAGGCAUUCUGGCUACCACAAGUAGACAAGACCUACAGUAGCCAAGCUGGGGAGCAAGGAGACCAGCUAAGAGAACUGUGUAACUGAAGAGGGCUAAGUGGUUUCCUGGACUGGGGUUUAGGUGUCAGAGCAGGCAGCUCAUGGUUGUUUCAUGGAUGCAUGCCAUGACAGUGUGGGUCACUGUUAUUUGAUGGGUAGAAUGUGCAGAAUAGGAGGAAUUGUAGCUGAACAGGGGCCCUGACCUGCACUAUCCUGUACCUACCAAAGAC